UACGUAGGGGCAAGCGUUGUCCGGAUUUAUUGGGCGUAAAGAGCGUGUAGGCGGCCAUUCAGGUCAGCUGUGAAAACUCGAGGCUCAACCUCGAGACGUCGGUUGAAACCGUUUGGCUAGAGUCCGGAAGAGGAGAGUGGAAUUCCCGGUGUAGCGGUGAAAUGCGCAGAUAUCGGGAAGAACACCCGUGGCGAAGGCGGCUCUCUGGGACGUACUGACGCUGAGACGCGAAAGCGUGGGGAGCGAACGAGG
rnacentral:rRNA from 1 species